rnacentral:piRNA from 1 species
CCAUAUCAUUGGAGACCUUCAUAAGCCAUG